UACAGAGGGGGCAAGCGUUGUUCGGAAUUACUGGGCGUAAAGGGCGCGUAGGCGGCCUUCUAAGUCGAACGUGAAAUCCCUGGGCUCAACCCAGGAACUGCGUCCGAUACUGGGAGGCUUGAAUCCGGGAGAGGGAUGCGGAAUUCCAGGUGUAGCGGUGAAAUGCGUAGAUAUCUGGAGGAACACCGGUGGCGAAGGCGGCAUCCUGGACCGGUAUUGACGCUGAGGUGCGAAAGCGUGGGGAGCAAACAGG
rnacentral:rRNA from 1 species